GAUGAAGAACGCAGCGAAAUGCGAUACUUGGUGUGAAUUGCAGAAUCCCGUGAACCAUCGAGUCUUUGAACGCAAGUUGCGCCCGAAGCCAUUAGGCCGAGGGCACGCCUGCCUGGGCGUCACACGUCGUUGCCCCCCCAUCUACUCCUUCGGGAUUGCGGGGGGCGGAUGAUGGCCUCCCGUGCGCCUCGUCGCGCGGUUGGCAUAAAUGCCAAGUCCUCGGCGACGCACGCCACGACAAUCGGUGGUUGCGAAACCUCGGUUGCCCGUCGUGUGCGGUCGACGCGCAUCGAGGGCUCGAAAAAAUUGCCGGGCUCCGGCUCGGCUUUCAACGCGACCCCAGGUCAGGCGGGGUUACCCGCUGAAUUUAAGCAUAUCAAUAAGCGGAGGA
rnacentral:misc_RNA from 1 species